UCUUUUCCACCUCGAGAAACUAGCAAGUUUGAGCGCUAUUAUGAUCUAUAAUGCACGAAACAAUCAAUAAAAAAAGCACAUAAAUAGGGUUAAAACUAGACGGUUCACAAACCUUCGCGAAUUCAUAUCAAUCUAUUCAAGUUGAAACUCCGGCUGAUAUGAAUUUUUUCCGGCGAAUCAGAAGCUGCGAAUCUGUAAGUUUAUCGCAAUAAUUGAUCACUAAUUUUGCAAUUAAAAUUCAAUGAAAAAUGAACGAUCAAUUGAAAAUUCGUGAAUUUUAAAUUCCUAGGUUGUGGAGGUAACAGAUCAAUUAAAAAUUUGCGUGCUAAUCACGAAAAUGACAAAAUCCGGCCGGAAUAUAUACCUGGAGCUGAACGACAAACGCCGGAGAAGAAGAAGC
rnacentral:lncRNA from 1 species